CCUACGGGAGGCAGCAGUAGGGAAUAUUGCACAAUGGGGGAAACCCUGAAGCAGCAACGCCGCGUGGAGGAUGAAGGUUUUCGGAUUGUAAACCCCUUUUGUUAGAGAAGAUAAUGACGGUAUCUAACGAAUAAGCACCGGCUAACUCCGUGCCAGCAGCCGCGGUAAUACGUAGGGUGCAAGAGUUACGCGGAAGGACUGGGGGGAAAGGGCGCGUAGGCGGGUUAGCAAGGAAGGUGUGAAAGCCUAUGGCUUAACCAUAGAACUGCUUUUGAAACUGUUAUUCUAGAGUAGGGGAGAGGUAGGUGGAAUUCUUGGUGUAGAGGUGGAAUCCGUAGAGAUCAAGAGGAAUACUCAUUGCGAAGGCGGCCUGCUAGAACAUAACUGACGCUGAUGCGCGAAAGCGUGGGGAGCAAACAGGAUUAGAUACCCUUGUAGUC
rnacentral:rRNA from 1 species